UACAGAGGGGGCGAGCGUUGUUCGGAAUUACUGGGCGUAAAGGGCGCGUAGGCGGCCGACUAAGUCAGACGUGAAAUCCCCUGGCUCAACCAGGGAACUGCGUCUGAUACUGGCUGGCUUGAAUCCGGGAGAGGGAUGUGGAAUUCCAGGUGUAGCGGUGAAAUGCGUAGAUAUCUGGAGGAACACCGGUGGCGAAGGCGGCAUCCUGGACCGGCAUUGACGCUGAGGCGCGAAAGCCAGGGGAGCAAACGGG
rnacentral:rRNA from 1 species